ACUGCGCAGGGAAACUUACUUGCAACUGGCUUUUUGUUGGAGGAACGCCUUCUUGUUCACACAAGAUUACAGCCUAGAAGGACAUGGCUCAGCGCUACCUGUGGAUCUGGCUCCUUUGCCUGCAAACCUGUCUGGAAGCAGAAGGAAGUGACACAGACGUCUUCACGGUGAUUGGGAUUCUGGGGGAGUCAGUCACUUUCCCCUUAAAUAUCGAAAAAUCACAGCAAGUUGUCAACAUUGUUUGGAACUCUGAAACAUCUGUUGCUUUUGUAAUGCCAGGAGACUCAGGAACAGCACCCAAAGUUACUGUGACCCACCAAAAUUAUAAUGACCGAAUAAAUGUCUCACGUAAGAACUACAACCUGGAGAUCAGUAAUCUGAGGAUGGAAGAUUCAGGCAUCUACAAGGCCGACAUAAAUACAAAGACCCUUGAAGGGAUGAUCACCACCACCAGGCGCUACAGCCUUCAGGUCUUCCGUCGGCUUGGGAAGCCAAAAAUUACGCAGAGUUUAAUGACAUCUGUGAACAGCACAUGUAAUGUCACCUUGACAUGCUCUGUGGAGGAAGAAGAAGAGAAUGUCACAUAUAGUUGGAGUCCCCCGGGGGAAGCGGGGAAUGUAGUUCGAAUCUUCUGGACCCCCGACAACCAAGAGCUGACCUACACGUGCACAGCCUGGAACCCCGUGAGCAACAGCUCAGACUCCAUCUCUGCCCAGCAGCUCUGUGCAGACACUGCAACAGGCCUCCAUUCUCGCCACACUGGGCUGCUGAGCGGGCUGGCGGUGCUCUUUCUCUUUAUACUCAUUGUGCCUUCGGUACUUUUGUUCCUUUUGUGCAAAAGAGGACAAGGUAGGAUUUUUCCAGAAGGUAAAAUGUGGAAAUGUACCUUCCUUCUUCCUGGAACUGAAGUCAUUUAUCCAAGGUGGGGUAGAGCGGUCCUUUGUUCCGGGGAAUCCGUCUUCUUCCAAUCCCCCCUCCUCCACCUCACCAUCUCCAGAGUGCGGACCCCUGGAUGACAGUGCCCUGAGUGGGCUUCAUAAUCUGUGCCCGGUGUCAUCGGUAUCUGGUGGGCCCAGAACCUGGGUGUGAGUUCAGUACCGCCAUUGAGAAGCUGUGCUUCACUGGACAUGUGUCUUUCCCUCUCUGGCUCAGUGCUCUCACGCGUGAAAUGGGAUUUGAACUAGAGGGUCUCCUGGGCCACUUCCAAUUCCAUCAUAUUUUGACUAUGUCCUUUGGAGAGUCACAGAGGGACAGGUACUAACUUUGCAUCCCAUGGGCGUCACUAGAUCCCUCUGGAUCCCUCUGGAUCCUUCUGUAGUUGUGCCAUCUACAGUGCAGAAAACCUAAUCUUAGGCCCCCAGAGGAGCACUGUGCCCUCCUAUACCUCCUAACCCCAGGAUGUCCCCAAAUCUUCCUUUCCCACCAAUCACAGUAACAAGCCUGGGUAUAGAGGGGCUAAACCUCUGUUUCCAUGUUCCUGACUCUCCUUUGGGUCUGAUUCCUCAGGUUCCUUCUUGAAGCCCUUCAGUAAGAACUCUGAUGCCAUCUCAAAGAAAACAAUAUACACCUACGUCAUGGUUACGAGAGAUGCCCCGCCAGCAGAGGG